rnacentral:rRNA from 1 species
GAUGAACGCUGGCGGCGUGCCUAAUACAUGCAAGUCGAGCGAACAGACGAGGAGCUUGCUCCUCUGACGUUAGCGGCGGACGGGUGAGUAACACGUGGAUAACCUACCUAUAAGACUGGGAUAACUUCGGGAAACCGGAGCUAAUACCGGAUAAUAUAUUGAACCGCAUGGUUCAAUAGUGAAAGACGGUUUUGCUGUCACUUAUAGAUGGAUCCGCGCCGCAUUAGCUAGUUGGUAAGGUAACGGCUUACCAAGGCAACGAUGCGUAGCCGACCUGAGAGGGUGAUCGGCCACACUGGAACUGAGACACGGUCCAGACUCCUACGGGAGGCAGCAGUAGGGAAUCGUCCGCAAUGGGCGAAAGCCUGACGGAGCAACGCCGCGUGAGUGAUGAAGGUCUUCGGAUCGUAAAACUCUGUUAUUAGUGAAGAACAAAUGUGUAAGUAACUAUGCACGUCUUGACGGUACCUAAUCAGAAAGCAACGGCUAACUACGUG